UACGGGGGGGGCAAGCGUUGUUCGGAAUUACUGGGCGUAAAGGGCUCGUAGGCGGCCAACUAAGUCAGACGUGAAAUCCCUCGGCUUAACCGGGGAACUGCGUCUGAUACUGGAUGGCUUGAGUUUGGGAGAGGGAUGCGGAAUUCCAGGUGUAGCGGUGAAAUGCGUAGAUAUCUGGAGGAACACCCGUGGCGAAAGCGGCGCGCUGGACCACUACUGACGCUGAAGAACGAAAGCUAGGGGAGCAAACAGG
rnacentral:rRNA from 1 species